rnacentral:rRNA from 1 species
UACGAAGGGGGCUAGCGUUGCUCGGAAUCACUGGGCGUAAAGCGCACGUAGGCGGCUUCUUAAGUCAGGGGUGAAAUCCUGGAGCUCAACUCCAGAACUGCCUUUGAUACUGAGGAGCUUGAGUCCGGGAGAGGUGAGUGGAACUGCGAGUGUAGAGGUGAAAUUCGUAGAUAUUCGCAAGAACACCAGUGGCGAAGGCGGCUCACUGGCCCGGUACUGACGCUGAGGUGCGAAAGCGUGGGAAGCAAACAGG